rnacentral:rRNA from 1 species
AUUGAACGCUGGCGGCAGGCCUAACACAUGCAAGUCGAGCGAGCGGCGGACGGGUGAGUAAUGUCUGGGAAACUGCCUGAUGGAGGGGGAUAACUACUGGAAACGGUAGCUAAUACCGCAUACCAUCAGAUGUGCCCAGGUGGGGUUAGCUAGUAGGUUGGGUAACGGCUCACCUAGGCAAAGAUCCCUAGAUGGGUUGAGAGGAUGACCAGCCACACUGGAACUGGGAAACGGUCCAGACUCCUACGGGAGGCAGCAGUGGGGAAUAUUUGACAAUGGGGGGAACCCUGGUCCAGCCAUGCCGCGUGGGUGAAGAAGGCCUUAUGGUUGUAAAGCACUUUAAGCGAGGAAGCGUUACUCGCAGAAUAAGCACCGGCUAACUCAGUGCCAGCAGCCGCGGUAAUUC